CAUUAAACAACAUGAUGCGCAACUCAGGCAUUUUUGGUCGAAGAUCGUAUCCGAUAGCACGCUCCAAUGCACAUACUUGACGAGACGAAAACGAGCGGAUGUGUGCUGCUCUCAAGGCAUAGCACUAAUGGUGUUCGUUCCUGCUUUGACAGUUGUUGUCGAUUUUAAUGAUAUAUUGGAAAAUUGAAGGUAAAAAGAAAUCGGAAAAAAGUAAGAUGUAAAAGUUGUGGGAAAACCUGUCUAAGCAUUGUGGGACUCCUGCAGCACAAGAGGCAAUAGCAAAAAUAGAAAGUAUAUCAAUCAAGACAACUGUAGCAGAAGGGGAGAUAUCAGAAGUCUGGCGACAUAUCAGUGACAGUGUGA